rnacentral:rRNA from 1 species
AGUGAACGCUGGCGGUAGGCCUAACACAUGCAAGUCGAACGGCAGCACAGGAGAGCUUGCUCUCUGGGUGGCGAGUGGCGGACGGGUGAGGAAUACAUCGGAAUCUACUUUUUCGUGGGGGAUAACGUAGGGAAACUUACGCUAAUACCGCAUACGACCUACGGGUGAAAGCAGGGGACCUUCGGGCCUUGCGCGAUUGAAUGAGCCGAUGUCGGAUUAGCUAGUUGGCGGGGUAACGGCCCACCAAGGCGACGAUCCGUAGCUGGUCUGAGAGGAUGAUCAGCCACACUGGAACUGAGACACGGUCCAGACUCCUACGGGAGGCAGCAGUGGGGAAUAUUGGACAAUGGGCGCAAGCCUGAUCCAGCCAUACCGCGUGGGUGAAGAAGGCCUUCGGGUUGUAAAGCCCUUUUGUUGGGAAAGAAAUCCAGCUGGCUAGUACCCGGUUGGGAUGACGGUACCCAAAGAAUAAGCACCGGCUAACUUCGUGCCAGCCGCCGCAGUAA